AGGUUCAAGAUUACUCUGUCUAUUCUCUCUCUCUCUCUCUCUCUCUGUACCCACCUCUGUUUAGUGAUAUGUAUAUGUGUGUGUAGAUAGAUAGAAACACACAGGUGAUUUAUUUAUAUACAUACUCUGCAAAGAACUAAUUAGGGGGAAAGGAAUGUGAAAGGAACUGAAAAGGAGGAUUGGGGAAUCAUUAAGCCUGAAAAAAAAAAAUCAGUAAAUAAAACUCAAAACACCAAAAUGCAAGUUAUGAUAAUACCUGAAGAGAGCCAAGGAAUUUUUUAAAGACAGAAUCUAGGAGGGAAUGAAGGCUGGAAGCUAUGAAGAGAAACUGGAAGGAACUGCUUUGUGAAUUUCUUUAUUUCUUCAGCACAACUGAAUCUGUGUACAUACUGGCUGAAACUCUCCCUUUUGCAGAGAACUAGCCCACGGAUGGUUCCACAUGGAUCCAGUUUAAGCAGAGUGAAUUUCACCUUCUGAAGUCAUUCCUCUUGCCAGUUACUGGAGACAGAGAGAGAGAGAGAGAAUCUGGCCUGAAGUACAGCUCUGUGUAAGCUCAAAAGCUCAUCU